UGGGGGAAUAUUGGGCAAUGGGCGGCAAGCCUGACCCAGCAACGCCGCGUGAAGGAAGAAGGCCCUCGGGUUGUAAACUUCUUUUAUCAGGGACGAAGAAAGUGACGGUACCUGAUGAAUAAGCCACGGCUAACUACGUGCC
rnacentral:rRNA from 1 species